UGUAAGUUUCAAUUAUCUGAAGUUAUUCUAGUUACACAGGAAUGCACAAUAUUAAAAUUAACAGAUAUUGAGGCCAAAUAAUCAACAAUAGCUGGAAGCAUGUACCUUGGAAAGAUAUGUCCUCAUUUUGAAAUUGAAUCCCAGACAAAACUCCUGGAAUUUCAGGUUUGGUUACAAAUAUUGAACUUGUAUGAAGUUCACCGAAGUUCAUUUCCAUGGAGCCUGGAGUGAGUUAGGCAUAAAUCAUAACCAGCCGAGGUGGAAGCCCAUAUGCAUACAUUCAUAGGUACAGACAGACAAAC
rnacentral:lncRNA from 1 species